AUGGAGUACUCGCCGAAGCUAUCAGCGGUACUGCUCUUAGCUCUCGCGUCCGUCAUGGUGGCCACGGCCCAGAACUCGCCGGAGGACUUCGUGGAAGCCCACAACGCGGCGCGCGCCGACGUGGGCGUCGGGCCGGUGAUCUGGAACGAGACGGUGGCCGCGUACGCGCAGGCGUACGCGAGGCAGCGCCGCGGCGACUGCCGGCUGAAAACUUCUCCGGCGGGCCAUCCGUACGGGGAGAACCUCUUCAGAGGCAGUGGGGCCGACUGGACAGCGGCGGACGCCGUGGCACUGUGGGUGUCGAACAAGCAGUACUACGACCACGACAGCAACACCUGCUCAGCGCCGGCGCUCAAGACGUGCUUGACCUACACGCAGGUGGUGUGGCGCGACUCGACGGCCAUCGGCUGCGCCCGCGUCGUGUGUGCCAGCGGCUUCGGCGUCUUCAUCAUCUGCAGCUACAACCCGCCGGGCAACCUCUUGGGGGAGAGCCCAUACUAG
rnacentral:rRNA from 1 species